AUGGAGGAGCCGGACAUGGAUGUAGAGAAGGCGGCCAGACCCGAGUUCGUCCACCCCUGCUAUGCUAAAAUAAUACGGAUGGACGAGGUCACACAAGCCGUUGAAAACUUGAAAAAGGAAUGGAGCCAAGCAGUUGCACAGCUUGAGGAUGGACUGCAGUGCAGACUUGAUCUUCUGGCAGAGCAGCUACCCACUUUUGAAGAAGUUCAGUCUGGACAGGCAACCCUAGGCUCAUGGAAGGACCAAUAUCAGAGGCUGCGUGUGAGCCUGAGGAAUGCUAACUUACAAGCAAAAGCGAACAUUGGAAAGGCUGCUCAAGAAGAGAGGGAGCUUCUUCUGGGAGGUGGAGAAGAGUCCACUAUCCGGAGGCUGGAUCAGGUGAUUGCAAGCAAUCUGCAGUGCUUAAAGUUCAGGAUGACCAUUUGGGGUGUACCAGGGUGGCCGGCCGAUGCAUGGAUGUGUCGCCAGUGCCCAGUUGCCGCCACACGUACAUGCAAGCAAAGUAGCCCACUUUAUCCUAUACAGCGUGUGUGGUCGCUCAACGUGCCAGGCGAGCACCCUAGCCUUGAAGUCUCACAGCCUAGGCACUGUAGCCUCUUGCGCAGGAGUGGCCAAGAGUGGACGCUUGCUUUGCUUUCUCUUCCGUUCCCGGCUGGCCAUAUUGAUUUGCUUUGCAACAAUGGCCAGUGUACUGUGUGGCCUCAGGGAGAAAAACACGACCGGCCGCCGGCCAGUGUACUUUUUUCCAAAACAAAGGCCUUAAGCUACUGUUUUUCUCAUUCCUUCUGUCAGUAUCUCUACAUGGUAUAUUUGGAUGGAUGGCCUGAUAUGAGAUUUUUGUGUUAUAGCUAUGAAUAUUUGCAAACAAAUCAGGUUAGAACAUCACUUAAUAUAAUUGUUGCAACUGGCCUCCAUGUGAGAGUUGAUGUGGAGGUAUGA
rnacentral:rRNA from 1 species